UACGGAGGGGCUAGCGUUGUUCGGAAUUACUGGGCGUAAAGCGCACGUAGGCGGCUUUACAAGUCAGAGGUGAAAGCCCGGAGCUCAACUCCGGAAUUGCCUUUGAGACUGUAUCGCUUGAACACGGGAGAGGUGAGUGGAAUUCCGAGUGUAGAGGUGAAAUUCGUAGAUAUUCGGAAGAACACCAGUGGCGAAGGCGACUCACUGGACACAGUAUUGACGCUGAGGUGCGAAAAGCGUGGGGAGCAAACA
rnacentral:rRNA from 1 species